rnacentral:ncRNA from 1 species
AUUUUUAAAGCGCCAGAACUUAAGGUGAGAUAUUAGAUAUAGAUUUAUUAUAAGUGAAGGUUGAGUAUUAGAUGAGUUUUACAAGGAAACUUGACUCACCUACGUUCGCUAAGUAAGUUCGACUAGCUAAAUCGAAGAUUUGGAAGCUCACUUGCACGCUGUGUAAGUUCGCAUUAAUCAAAUCAGAGAUUUGGAUGCUCACUUAAGUUGACGAGGUUGGGGAGUUAUCGAAACUUCGGCGGGUGCCCCACGGUAUAGCACUACCGUUAACAACUGGCAAAACUUUAAAGUGAUUUAAAGUACAAAUCCAGU